rnacentral:tRNA from 1 species
GCCAGAGUAGCUCAGUGGGCUAAGCAUCUGACUUCAGCUCAGGUCAUGACCUCACGGUUCGUGAGUUCAAGCCCCGCAUCAGGCU